CAUUGUUUGAGGCGCCAUU
rnacentral:siRNA from 1 species